CCGAUAUCAGGAAAAAAACAAAUUCAAAUAGAUCUUGUCUUGAGCAUAAUUUUCACAAUUCAGUUUCUAUAUCCACGUGUUUCGAAUUGUAUGGCAAAAAUACAAAAACAAUAGCAGAAUUGUCAUUUGAGGGCAAUAACUCUUUAGAAGAUAACAGCUGACGAUUUCACUAAUCUUUGCUUUUUAAACUUCUACCUACGUGGUUUUUUUUUAACCAAGGGCCUCGGUGGUCUAAGAAAUGCUACUAAUCAACACUGAGUUUGUGAGUCGAACCCUGCUAAUGCGAGUGCACUCGACUCCAAUCUUGGUUGACUAGGAUUAUCAGUUUUCCUCCAGGCACGCUGGCUUCCUCAAUCAAUAAAAACGAAAUAGCCUAGAUGUGGCUCUUAAAAGUGGCAUUAAAUCACAAACAAUCAAUCAAUUUUAUUGAAGUCUGUCAUAUUGUUAUGUAGAAGGGGUCAAUAACUCCAAAAUCAGGUUUUCAAAAUUAUCUCAAAUUUUUAGUUUGUAUAUGUCUUGUCAUACUGGUCAUUUUUGCAAUUUACUCUUUAACCUAGCUGCUAUAGUUUGAACUAUAGCAAAAACCUGGAAAACCUGGCAAAAAGUCACCUUUCAGGGACAAACACUAUAAACUAGAUUGUUAUUUUUUUCUGAAAUUAACAUGUAAUAGAAUUUGCUGUAAAUAAGUGUUGCUUUAAGGUAGCUCUUCUAGUUUUCUAUACAAAAGCCAAGAAAUGACUUUUUUUUUUUAAAUAAACAUUUCCCCGUAAAUAAUUAUCAAAUAGGUCAUCCUGUUUUUCAGGGUAGAUUGAGGUUGUGUGUGUGCUUACAUUCUUUAUGGUUGUUAGUAUCCCUCUAAUUGCUACAGUUUUCAAGAUAUUUGCCAAUAUAGCUGUUUAUGCUGUUUAGGCCAUAUUAAUCAACCAGAUCUCUCUGUCAUAGAACUUUACUCAUUUCUCUGACUACCAAAUUUGUGCUUUAGACGCAAAAUCCCAUAGUUUGAUUGGUAAAUUAGAGUACGAUAACUGCACUCGAAAGUUUAAUGACCUUAAGCCAAGGACAACAAUAAAAAAUUAAAGUACAGAUCCCUAUAACUGAAGCAUAUACAUUUUGUUUACAAUCCAUUGAGAGGUUGUACGUGUCUCUUAAGAGAAGGUGAGCUAAACAAAAUAAUUGUAGAAAAGAAAUCUUUGAGCACUUUUAUAUUGAUAACAAUAUCACACAUUCAUUUAUAUAUUACAAUAGUUGCAUCAGUAUAUAUAAUUUAUUCACUCAUCCACAAGCUGUUCACACAUACAGAUAUAAAAAAAAACUAAACAUUUAAAAAUUAUCUUUUUUUACAUUUUUUCUACCUUUCUGUAAUUUUCUUUGAUGUAUUAUAUAAAUGUUAUAUAUUUUUUAGUAGGGUCCAAGUAGUUUGAAUGGAAACAAUAUAUCUUAUAAGAUUUGGAUGAUUGAUUGAUUGAUUGGUGUUCAACGUCACUUUUAACAUUAUUGUGCUAUUUUGUGGAGGUCAUUUUUUUAAAAUUGGAGGAAGCCAUAGUGCAUAGAGAGAAACACGACCUUCGGUAGGAAAUCUGACAAUUUUGUCAAUUAUAAGGUUGGAUUCAAGUGCACAAUUAAUUGAAGGAGAACGUUAUUAUAAUAGUUUGUUGCUUUUCACUCCUACUUAUUACUGAAAAAAAAACACCAGAAAAUUGUAGCAUUCUUUUCUUUCUUUCUGAUUUCACAAGAAAAAAAGAUCAAGUGUUGACAAUAGUUUUAAGCUGUCUAUAAGACUAAAACUUUAAAUUGUUGUCCAUUCAGUAAUAAACAUCACAUUGCCUUGAAUCUUCCAACUGUAGAUUCUUUCAUAUCAUUUUUUAUCAGUGCGGAGGAAAAUACAAAUCAACAAAAUGUGUAUGAAAUUGAACAAUUACUACAAAUUAUUAUAACCUUAGGGACCAACACUGAUCUAAAAGUUACAUAUUGAAAGAAGGGGUGUGAAAGGAAGCAUUACUAUAGACUUUUAAUUGCAAAAACCAUAAAAUUCAGAAAUCAUUUCAAAUAUAGCACUAUUUUGAAAAGAUAGCAUAAUUUUGAAUUGAGAGCAUAAUUUUUAACUUGAAAAAAAAUUGAACCUUUUCUUAGUUUUGAUCAAAAUUAUCAUUUACAAUCUGAUACAAGAGGCUGUCACAACGACAGCAAACCGGAUUUAUUAAUAUUUAUUUGUGUCCUGGCAAUAUCACAAGAACCGUUACUGAUGAAUGGUGAAAGAGAAAAUCGUCAAUAUCAAAUUUGACCUCCAUUUUGUCAUCAGUAUCAACAUAUUAAAAUUUGAAAAGCUUAGAUUGAAUGGUUCAUGAGUAAAUGCAACAACGUGAAUGGAAACGCCAUUUAACAAUCUUUCAAGAACCAUAACUCCUGAACGGUAAAAGUCAAAAUCGUCAUUAUUGAAC
rnacentral:lncRNA from 1 species